ensembl:lncRNA
UAGGGUGUUCUGCUUCAGUUGAAUAACUAAUAGAGCGCACUUACCCUCUGGCCCCGAGUUGGAUUAUGUAAUAAAAAUACCUUCUUUGGUUUUUUAAUACUGAGAAGAGCUUCUCGGCAGUUACCACCCAAAAAUAAUGGUUUUGAAUAAUAAUGAGUUGAUGUAACUGGUUGUUUGUGUAGCCAGUCAUGCGAGUUAUUCCGUAGAAGACUGCAAUUUGAAUUUUCCGAGAACGAUAAGGUUUUUAUGUUUUGCUAGGCGGGACUGCACAGUCGAACACUACUCUUCUUUAUGAGCUUCUGUAUUUACAGAUACCUCUAAUGUCAGUUUUUAGGAAAUGAGAGCAAAGCGUGUUCCUGAAACACCUUGGGGUAAAUGUGGCUCGUAAUCAAAGACUCAUUAAAAGGUUCGCCUGUUUCAACUAGCAAUGUGUUCCCUGUUGAGCUUCGGGGAGCGGAGUGUGACGAGUAGCCAGCGUGAGGAUUGCUGGUGGCAGAAUACGCUUUGUUCCCCCAUGUUUUCAGGAUCUCGAUGCACAGAAAGCAGUAACAUAUGAGUUUGCUUCUGAGCGCUGAGGCACGGUAAAGCAGAACCGAGGUGAAACGCUUCAGAACCUCAGCUCUUUUCUCCUUCAGGACGAGGAGCUGCUUCAUCAGAACAGGACAUCAAAACCUCUAUUAAUCUUUACGUUUAUGAUCCCUGUCCACCUGCCCCUCCUCUCACCCCACCUUCUGUAGUCAAUACAAUACCAUCUAUUAGAAACGUAACCGAAGGGAGGCUGUGGGUGUGUGUAUGUGUGCGUGUGUGCGCAUUCGUUAUGGAUUUGUUUGAAGUGUGUAUUAAUCAGCUUUGACAAAGGCACGUAGGUGAUGAUCCUUAGAUGAGUCAGGUGAUCUUUACUUGAACUAUCUGAUUUAUUUUUUUGUGCGCGCUCUAGCUCACACUCUAGAGUCGUACUGUCUGAUUGGUGUGUGUGUGUGUGUGGGGGGGGGGGUCACACUAGUGUCACUCCUUUACUAAGCUAACCUAACCAUAACAGUAAUGACAAAAGUCCGAAAGCCCUGUAAUUGUAGCCUGUCACUUUCUCACACCAGCAGUUUUGUCGUUUAUUUUUUAUUUAUGAUUGUGUUUUACCGUUUUGAAGGUGUGACAUUUACUGAAGAUUCUUCCUUAUUCACAAAUACGGAAAAUAUGCGAGAAAACAAAUCCUUUUUUUUUUUUUUUUUGGUCCUCAAGCGUAGCGCUAAUGGUUUGGUUUGCGCUGUUGAAAACAACGAUCUUCCCUAAAUAACCGUAAUAUCCUUUUGUGUAAUGAAUCAAAAAAAAGGGGGAAGCUGAGAGAGAGUGAAAAAAGGUUUGAGUUCUGCAUUUCCACAUUAUUACAGUUUACAGCUUUUGCAUUUAAAAAAAAUUAUUAUUUAAUAAAACUAAAUAUAAACGCAAAUAUAAGCUAUAGGUGCGACCUGAUGUUUGGUUUGUUUUUUUUCUUUUUCUUUUGUUUUUGAUGGAUGAUCUGUAGCGCAAAAAAACAAAACCGGUGCGAUCGACGCUUUAAAAACAUUCGUGUGCCCUUCAGAUAUUUUGUUGCACAUCAAAUGCGUUCCCCAAAAAAUGAGCAGUGCCGAGGGUUUCCUGCUUUACGUGCGCGUUUUAUUUUAAGAUUAGAAUUUAGCAGCAGAAUGUAAUGGGUUUUAUUUGCUUAGAAAGAUAUGACUUUUGUUUUUUUUGUUUUUUUUCUUCUUCUUUUCUCAAUUUUUUUUUCUUCAUUUAAAAAAAAAAAAAAAACAACAAAAAAACGUUUCGGUGUAGACUUGUGUGUUUUGGUGUGGGUUGCUGCGUUUUCGUUUGAAAGAAAGCCGGUAGCAUGGCGACCUGGUUAAAGAAACAGUUUGGCGUUUCAAAUAAUAAAAAGUAAUAAAAAAGGUAAGCGUUCCUGUGUUCGCGAACAUAGCCGAUCAGUUUGGAGUGUGGACUUUAAAUAAAAAAAAUAAAAAUUUUUUAUUAAAGUGUUCUUUUGUACAAAAGUUACGAGGCUGCAUAAGACUUGAAUAAAACAAGCGUAAUUGUUUCUUCUCUAAGAAAUAAGUAAAGAAUUACAUUUUAGUCGGUUAUUUAUUUAGUUUUAAAUAAAUAAAUAAAUAAAAUGUAAGGGGGGUUGCUAGCUGCCUUAGCCUCGUAAUUCUAGUGCGAAAGUUCUGGACGUGUCUCUGCAGUUCGGCUAUGUUUGCUGAGCAGGAACCGUUUUGGUGAAUAAUAAUAACAUCGACAAACUCUGCUUUUUGUGACUUUCUCCUAAAGGAAGGUCUCAAAUCUGAGGUCCUGUUCGAGCAGGUGAAGAUGUCUGAUGUUCACUUUGUAAGAACGUUUCUGUUCCUCAUUUUGUUCAAAUUUUUUUCCUUCCUCUUGUUUACCAGUGUGCUCCUGUAGAACGUUCUAGUAAAUAAGUGACGAGCAUUAAUGCAUACAGAGUGAAGACCAACAGAGAUUUAUGGCUGUGUAUGAUCAAGUAUGAAUUUGGGGAACUCGCGUAGCUUGAUUGAAAUGUAGAGAGGUUUUUAAACCUUUAGAAACUAACACUACACUACACACACACGACUUGUUCUACAGCUUUGGUCUUCACUUCUCAUCAUUAAUGUCUCAUAUCUGCCCUCUGAGCCAGCUAAACCUAUUAUUAUUAUUAUUAUUAUUAUUAUUAUUAUAAAUAUUAGUUGUUAGAAAAUGAUUUUUUUAAAUGUCCUUUUUUGUAUUGUUUAAGAAGGAUGUUCCAGAUGUGAGCAGAGAGUUGGGGAUUUCACAUUUAUGCAGCGAUUGAUGUGUAAAACAGAAAGCGGGAGGAAUUAUUAAAGGAGUGAUUUGUUCCGUAUCGAGCUGAUGCCGGUCUGACACAGAGCCCUGAUCAGACUGGUAUUUUCACAUCCACCGUCUGACUUUAUUUAAAUAAAAAAAAAAUUAUUAUUAUUAUUAUUUUUUUUUAAAACAACGUGAUGUUGACUUGCACAAUAGUGCUGCAUGUGAACGUCACGCCCGUGGUGGUGCUGGUGAUUUGCGUAACAAACCUCAACCAUUUCCUCUGAGGAUGAACUCGUUGUUUUAUAAAUCUUCCUGCGGCAGUGUGAUAGCUGUCCGAAACCUCAGGCAGUGUGCUUUAGGGCCAUGCGUGUGCUGUGGCGUGUUGUGACGGUCAGCGUGUUCCUCCUCACGUCUUGGUGUGGGGUUUAUUUGGUGCGAGUUGCCAUGUAGCCUGUAGCACGAUGACCAAAACCGAGAAUAAAAUCGCUGUGUUUCUCUUUAACUCGGUGUCGAACAUAAAGUCGAUCAGCUAGCGGUUGUGACCUUUUUUUUUUUUUUUUUUUUUUUUUUUUUUUUUUUUUUUUAAAUAAAACUUACAAGGUGAAUUAAUAUUUCUAUAUUUACUUCAUAAAUCAAAAAAAAAAUUUCUUCUUUUGUAAUAAAUAAAUUGCAGACCAGCUACAGUUUAGACGUGUUUUUAUAUAGAAUAUCAUUUUGCGUUUCCAGUGGAAAACAAAUUUUUUUUUUUUUUUUUUUUUUUUUUUUUUUUUAAUUAUUUUAAUUAAUGGUUCUGUUAAAAAUGUUUAGUCUGAUACUGAGCCAGAAUUUCAGCCCGAUUACUCUGGAUUGGAUUGGUGCAGCUUCAGUUUCUUGGCGUGUUUUUAGUAAACACAUUGGGCCAAACGGCUCUGUUCAAUUCAAAACAGCUGUUCAUUGUUCAAAGUGAAGAACUGUAUCUAGAAAUGUAUCUAAUUUUGUCAUUGAAGCGUUGAAUGUGAGCUCUUUGGCUGCUCUGAUUUCUGGAACAUCCUGUAACCUGCAUUUUUGCUGUUUUAGUUUCUGAUUGCGCCUCCUGGUGGCUGCAAUAGUGUAAUGCACACAGUGGAUGAAGCACACAUUGCUUUUCCUUUUAUUUUGUUUGUUUGUUUUUGGGAGUUGGAAAAAAAUGAGAAAUGAGUACAGUAUAUGGAAACCAAUUAUUCAACCCAUAUUUAACACUUGAUUUAGUAAAACGGAUUUAAUUCCGCAGACAUGAUGCUGAUAUAUUUUUCUAAUACACUUCCAGAGGUGGUACACUUUUUUUUUUUUUUUUUUUUUUUUUUUUUUUUUAAUUGAAAACACGGAGAUAAAAUUAAACAAGCAGCAUUAUUAUUAAUUUAUGAUUAGUUAUUUCAGCCUAGACAACACCCGACAUCUGCGAAAAAGACAAACGAGGUCGGUGGGGAAAGAGGAAUUGAAACGAAUAAAAGAUGCAUGAGGUCGUCGAGGCUAAUGAUAAUAUUCUAGUAAUCGGACAUCACGGUCCCUAAUUUGCUUUGCUUUAAACUGCGAAACAAGUUUUAAAAACUUUAAAAACAAAAAAAAAAAGAAGUGUGCAACUAAGUUUUAUUUUCUUUUUUGCUUUUAACUAUUGCGUGAGUGAGUAUAUGUGGGUCCUCAAAAUAAUAAUAAAAUAAAUUUUAAAAAGACAAAAAAGUAUGAGAAAUUGUUAGCAUAUGAUAUGUUUAUGAGGAGACCACCGUGUAACAAAGUUCAUGUUUGUGUGUGCGAGGUCGGAGUA